AUUUUAGUAGAUAGAAAUUCCCUUCGGGCUUUCUGCAAGGUGCUGCAUGGUUGUCGUCAGCUCGUGCCGUGAGGUGUCGGGUUAAGUCCCAUAACGAGCGCAACCCUUAUCGUUAGUUGCCAGCUGGUAAAGCAGGGGACUCUAGCGAAACUGCCACCGUAAGGUGAGAGGAAGGUGGGAUGACGUCAAAUCAGCACGGCCCUUAUGUCCAGGGCUACACACGUGUUACAAUGGCCGGCACAGAGGGCAGCUACCUGGUGACAGGAUGCUAAUCUCGAAAACCGGUCUCAGUUCGGAUCGAAGUCUGCAACUCGACUUCGUGAAGCUGGAUUCGCUAGUAAUCGCGCAUCAGCCAUGGCGCGGUGAAUACGUUCCCGGGCCUU
rnacentral:rRNA from 1 species